CCAGUCAUUUGCUUUACAGGAAAGAGGCAUCAGUCCUAUAGUUAGUAACACUGGUUAGCAAUAACAGGAGAAUAUUGAAAAGGCCUUUACGUUGAUUACAAAUUAAUUUGUCCUUCACCAUUUUUUCUUCCAGCCAGAGACGUCUGCCAUGGUGCAGAAUACUUGGGGACUGCUGGAGAUCCUAGUACAAUCGUGUCUGUGCCAGGCAUAUCUGAAUGGUGUUGGUCACUCCAAUGAUGCGGAACUUGGAUCUGCAGCCUCAGCUGUAAAAAUCUUACAACUCUGAAAGCCUCUCCUGAGGACCAAAGUGAAGGUUGUCGGAAAUUACUCCAUCUUGGACCUUUUAGCAUUUUCCUUUCAGAAGCACAAGCAGCUUUUGUCCCAAAAGACUGCAUUCUCGACAGCAAGGAGAGAAACACCACCUCAUAAAAGAUGGCUGAGCACAUCACUGCGGUGAUCCAAACCAGCCAUGCAACAGCCAGGACAGGUGCAUGCACUGAACAGAAAGGAUUUAGGAACCAGUGGACUACUUUCCGUCGCUGCCUUCUCAGGUCUCAAAGGGUGCAGUGCAGAGAGGAGCAUAUGGUAAUCCCUACUGUAGAAGGGAAAACAAUGGCCCGGAGCAUCGUAUCACUGAGUAGCCAAGUUGGGAAUCCCACCUGAAUCAAUCCUGUCUCCAGACAAAGCUGUCACUUCCCUAUGCGUACAACAAAUGCCCAUACCAAAGCAAUUACUGUAUGGGAGAUGCCGACUGGCUGGAAGAACCUGUUCAUUCUGGGUCUGUGAUGGGUCUGUGAGGAGCUCAGCUUCCUGGUGUGGAAGAAGGCAGCAGUCUGUUCUUCAGCUUGCUCCUGUCCUGGAGAAGACGUAAGGUGGCUUGUGUUGUGAACAGUUCUGCCUGGGGUCAAUUCCAAUCUGAGAAGAUGGCCUGAAGGACAAGGUCAUCACCCACUUGUGAUGGGGACCAGUGUGGCUGCUUAAAUUGCCCAUCCUGGUGUUCAGCAAGCAGGGAGAAGAACUUCUUUGUCAACAACUGAGAAGAUCCUGAAGAAUCCCG